UGCAGUNNNNNAAUAGUAGUAAUACUAUUAGUGGCAAACGGGUGAGUAAUACGUAGGAAUCUACCCUGUAGUAUGGGAUAACAGUUGGAAACGACUGCUAAUACCAUAUACGCUCCAUGGAGGAAAGAUUUAUCGCUAUAGGAUGAGCCUGCGCUAGAUUAGGUAGUUGGUGGGGUAAUGGCCUACCAAGCCAAUGAUUUAUAGCUGGUCUGAGAGGACGAUCAGCCACACUGGAACUGAGACACGGUCCAGACUCCUACGGGAGGCAGCAGUGAGGAAUAUUGGACAAUGGGCGCAAGCCUGAUCCAGCAAUGUCGCGUGAAUGAUGAAGGCCUUAGGGUUGUAAAAUUCUUUCGGUGGGGAAGAAAAUGACUGUACCUACAGAAGAAGCUCCGGCUAACUCCGUGCCAGCAGCCGCGGUAAUACGGGGGGAGCUAGCGUUUUUCGGAUUUACUGGGCGUAAAGGGCACGUAGGCGGUUAGUAAAGUUGAAAGUGAAAGCCCUAGGCUUAACCUAGGAAUUGCUUUCAAAACUCACUAACUAGAGAACGAUAGAGGAUAGCAGAAUUCCUAGUGUAGAGGUGAAAUUCUUAGAUAUUAGGAGGAAUACCGGUGGCGAANGCGGCUAUCUGGGUCGGUUCUGACGCUGANGUGCGAAAGCGUGGGGAGCAAACAGGANUAGAUACCCUGGUAGUCCACGCUGUAAACGAUGAGUGNUAGGUGUUGGGGCUUUUUAAAGUUUCGGUGCCGUANCUAACGCAUUAAACACUCCGNCUGGGGAG
rnacentral:rRNA from 1 species